rnacentral:rRNA from 1 species
AUUGAACGCUGGCGGCAGGCUUAACACAUGCAAGUCGAGCGGAGUGAUGGUGCUUGCACUAUCACUUAGCGGCGGACGGGUGAGUAAUGCUUAGGAAUCUGCCUAUUAGUGGGGACAACAUCUCGAAAGGGAUGCUAAUACCGCAUACGUCCUACGGGAGAAAGCAGGGGAUCACUUGUGACCUUGCGCUAAUAGAUGAGCCUAAGUCGGAUUAGCUAGUUGGUGGGGUAAAGGCCUACCAAGGCGACGAUCUGUAGCGGGUCUGAGAGGAUGAUCCGCCACACUGGGACUGAGACACGGCCCAGACUCCUACGGGAGGCAGCAGUGGGGAAUAUUGGACAAUGGGGGGAACCCUGAUCCAGCCAUGCCGCGUGUGUGAAGAAGGCCUUAUGGUUGUAAAGCACUUUAAGCGAGGAGGAGGCUCUUUUGGUUAAUACCCAAGAUGAGUGGACGAUACUCGCAGAAUAAGCACCGGCUAACUCUGUGCCAGCCGCCGCGGUAA